UCAGUACCAACUAGCUCGCCUUUCUGUUUUCCUUCGAAGCGUUCUUGACUGCGCGACAGUUGGUGAAGUGGAGCAUAGCCCAGCGGAAACGAAAGUUGCGUCGUUCUCAAGGAUUACCGUCAAGAAGUUUAUUUGCAUGAAUCGGAGUGAAAUGCACACGUUGCAUUUUAUUCUGUCUUGUAAUGCCCUGCAAUGUACUUUUUUGUCAUGGGUAGUUUGAGUACUUACGAUUAAUUGUACUGAGGCCUUAACACGCCAUCGGGCUUGCGUUCCAAAGUGCACCACUGGUAAACUGUGUCCUACGUUCACCUUAAUUUUUCCAUUGCCAAGGCACUGCUCUGUAUAAUAUUGACGUUUUAGACUUUCUCAGUGUUUCACUCGGAUAUAAAGUAUUUGCCCGUAGUGUCCCUUUAAGUGCUCCACAGGCAAUAGUACAUCGCUAGAAUAUUUACGAAUUAGUCCUUUGUCAUUACUGUUUUUUUUUCUCAGUGUGUUUAGGGCUGUUUUUCAGAUUUGCGGCUGUGACCGUGCAAUCUGUAGGAUUGCUCAACAUUUUUGGGAGUUUCCAGCAUAAAUCGAGAGAGUUGGUAUGUCACUACAUCAUGUAAUUUUUCAAGCUAGGACGUCAAGCCAGGAAUGGAAAAUGGAGCUCACGGUAGCUGACGAUAUGCCGAAUCUCCCAGCCAAGUACUGUGGCAGCAAGCCAAGCCGCAGCCUCAUUAAUACCAGAAUAAACUGCUGGGUAUGAUUGAGGCGAGUCAUGGAUGGAGGAUGCCAAAUGGACAGCGACAUCUGCAGCAACGAGUUAAACAUGGCAAUGGAUACUAGCCCUGAAGGAGCCCACCAAUGCGGCAAGAAAAUGCAUGUGCGUACGAGCAUGUGAUCAUGAGCAGCCGAGAAAAGCACGGGAGCCAGGGCCACUUAUAAUCUGUGCGAAAAUCGCGGGCUC